rnacentral:rRNA from 1 species
UACGUAGGGGGCUAGCGUUGUCCGGAAUCAUUGGGCGUAAAGCGCGUGUAGGCGGCCCGGUAAGUCCGCUGUGAAAGUCGGGGGCUCAACCCUCGGAUGCCGGUGGAUACUGUCGGGCUUGAGUACGGAAGAGGCGAGUGGAAUUCCUGGUGUAGCGGUGAAAUGCGCAGAUAUCAGGAGGAACACCUAUUGCGAAGGCAGCUCGCUGGGACGUGACUGACGCUGAGACGCGAAAGCGUGGGGAGCAAACAGG